rnacentral:rRNA from 1 species
CAGAUACGAAAGUAGGUCUAAGUGAUCCUCGUGUACUUCGUGGGAGGUACCGGGCUUAACGGAUAAAAGCUACCCCGGGGAUAACAGAGUAGUCGCACCUGAGCGUCCACAGCGACGGUGCGGUUCGCUACCUCAACAUAUCGGGGUCCUCUGAGAGUGAUUUCAGAGUGCUGUUUCCCAAAUUAAAGUCAACUCAAAACUUAUUUGAGAAAAAUUGUCAACUCAUAACGGUGAAACCCUAAUUCUGUGAACCGCUUUGAUUUCGGGUAAAUUUCGGAUUAUACUGAAAUUAGGAUGAAAUUAAGGUUAGAAAAGGGCAAUACCGUGGGAAGUUUAUCGGAAAAACAAAAAUCGUUAAUCGAAGGGUGUUUGUUGGGUGAUGGAUAUAUGCGUUGUAAAACCAACGCACAUCUUCAAAUUACUCACAGCAUCAAACAGAAAGAUUAUGUCGAUUGGAAAUAUAGGAAUUUGUCGGAGUUUAUUUUAACUCCUCCAAAAUCUUACAAAGGUAAUGGAACAAGAAUUGGUUACCGCUUCUUUACUAGAAGCUUGCCUAUUUUUACAAAUUAUUUUCUUCGCUUUUAUAAAAAGCAAAAGGUAAUUCCAAAAGAUCUAAAUCUAACUGCUUUAACUUUGGCUGUUUGGUACAUGGACGACGGCUCAAAAAGCGGUCGAAGCUGUUACUUAAACACGCAAAAAUUUACUUCGACAGAUCAAGAAUUCUUGAUCAGUAUAUUGCAGAAAAAAUAUAAUCUUCAGGCACAUCGAGACAAAGAUAAAGUUUAUUUUCGUCUUCGAUUUACAUUUGAAGAUUCGCAAAAAUUUGUUCGAAUUAUCGAACCAUAUAUUUUGCCAAGUAUGCGAUAUAAGCUUCCGAUAUAACCCCGUAUCGACUGAUUUCAGUCCCGCCUUCGGCGGGAUGAGAAUGAGAUGGAACGUUUUCCAUCAUACGUUGACCUCUCUUUUAACGAAGAGAUGAAGGUAUAGUCAAGCUAAUCAGUAAUGAUUGGAUUUAGAGCGAUGUCGGCUCAGCGCAUCCUGGGGCUGAAGAAGGUCCCAAGGGUUGGUCUGUUCGCCCAUUAAAGCGCUACGUGAGCUGGGUUCAAACCGUUCAGUAACUAAGAAAUUGGUUUUUGAACCGUUUGAACCCUUAAAGACAAAAAUUACGGCGACAUAGUAUAGGAAUAUAUUGUGUGAAAGUUAACUUAUUUCGGUGAAGUCCAAGAACGGAUAAUACCGAGGGAACCCCGCCAUGGCGGGGGCCCGUAGAGACUAAAUGUUAACCAUCCAGAACGGAUGAAGUUAUAGUCCAAUUCACAUAGGAAUAUGUGCAACCGAAUGCGUAAGACAGGUUGGUCUCUAUCCGCUGUCAGCGUGGGAUUUUUGAGGGAGUUUGUCUCCAGUACGAGAGGACCGAGAUGAGCCAUUCCCUGGUGUGCCAGUUGUUGUCGUCAGACGCAUUGCUGGGUAGCCACAAUGGUAUAGGAUAAUCGCUGAAUGCAUCUAAGCGAGAAGCCAUUCCCAAGAUGAGAAAUCCAUGCCCCGUGAGGGGCGAAAGAACCCUAGUAGACU